rnacentral:rRNA from 1 species
UACAGAGGGGGCAAGCGUUGUUCGGAAUUACUGGGCGUAAAGGGCGCGUAGGCGGCCUGUUAAGUCGAACGUGAAAUCCCCGGGCUCAACCCGGGAACUGCGUCCGAUACUGGCAGGCUUGAAUUCGGGAGAGGGAUGUGGAAUUCCAGGUGUAGCGGUGAAAUGCGUAGAUAUCUGGAGGAACACCGGUGGCGAAGGCGGCAUCCUGGACCGAUAUUGACGCUGAGGAGCGAAAGCAUGGGUAGCGAACAGG